GAGACUCCGUCUCAAAAAAAAAAAAAAAAAAGUUUUUGAAAAAAACUUGUAAGACCACCGACAUUUUCUCAAAUGUUCACAGUGCUUAAAGCCAUUUCGGUUGGGAGUGAGGAAGGAGAGGUAUAUUUUCGUUUUAUACAGAAAAGAUAAAAACCAAGUAAGUCCUCGACUAUCCUCUGUAAAUUUACUCACAUCUUUUCAUAUUUGAGUUGCUUGAACUGAAAGUUGUUUAAAUAAAACAAAUAUAGAUAAACAUCAUUUGGUAUGACAUUAGUUAUAAAGCUAGAUUUUCAAAUUGUAGUUAGAACACUAGUGAUAUAAUAUUUUAGGUAACUUGAUAGAAUGGUAUGUGUGAUAAAAUAUGUAAAGAAUAAAAACAAUAUUUACUAAAGUGCUAUCACUGAUACUGUUAUGUUUGCCUUUUUCUCUUCUGUACCUGUGUAACUCAUAAUUUUCCUUAAAGCUCAGCUCAAAUCUUACCUGAUAUGUCGCCUGUCUCCAUUGUCCAUCCUCUGUGAGAAUUAGAUGCUACUUCUGCUGUGAUACCGGAGCACUUGACUUUUAUUUUGCUGGUGGGCACGAAUUACAUUGUAUUCAUCUUUGCUAUCUGGGCCGUCUGGGCCACGUAUUUUUCCCAACCACAGCAUUAAACACAUUCCCUGGGAAAGGAAGAUUCUCAAUAAAGACUUGUUGAAUUUUAAAGAAUUGCCUAUUUCAAGUAUAGAUGGAACAAAUUCCAUACAAUUGUUGCACAAUUAGCUAUGAUUACAUUGAUCAAAGUUUAAUUGGUAGUCUUACAAACCACUGCACAAAUGCUGGUUUGUCCUCAAAGCAGUCUCAGCAAACCUAAAGUUUGUUUGAUACAUAUUGAUUGAAACUCUACCACAUCUCAGGCACCAGACUGCGUACUGAGCAUAUAAAGGUGGAUGAAAUAGAUACAGUUCUUAUUUUGUUAUGGUUUGCUCUUAUAAUCAUAAUUAGUUAGCUGUUGUAAGGGGUUUAGGCCAACUACAAAGUUAGAGGGCAUAGUCCUCAAGACUACCCUCACUCUGGCACCAACUGCACGUUUGUGGCCUCACAGAAUCACCUUUGGAGUGAUAACUUUCCAGAAGAACUCACAGGACUCACUGAAAACCAUGGUUCUACUCAUGGUUACAGUUUAUUGUCAGGAGAGGCACAGAUUAAAAUCCGUCAGGGGAAGAAAUACUUAAGGCAGGAUUCAGUAGAAGUACCAAAUGCUGAGCUUCUAUUGUCAUCUUCCUAGAGUCAGGACAUGUUACUCUUCGAGUACCAACAUGUGAUAAUACACAUGGAGUGUCACCAACAGGAAGCUCACCUGAGCCUCUAUGUCAAGAGAUGUCAUUGGCCCCUGUUAUGUAGGCAGGAUUCAUUCAUUGCCCAUGUGCUUGGUCCCAGCCUCUGACUCCACAGAUAUUGUGUGACCCAAAGCCCCUACCCUAAAUCAUAGUGUUAUUCUCUAUUUAGCCCAAGGCUCUCAGGCAAACACAAAUUACCUUCCAGAAACCAACGGCAAUGACUGCACCUCUUUUGGGGCAAGUUCUUUAUGUGUCCAAUAUUCAAGUGAAGUGAAGGCCAAACUCCAUAAAUAUGUACCCGUGGCUCUGUCUCCAACCCACCCCCUCACUCUUCUGACUACAUCUAUUUUCUUACCCCAGCUCAGAAGAAGAAAAUGAUGAAGGAAAAGAAAUGUAUGGGUGUAAUAUCUGGCAUAUCAGCACUUGGGAAAUGAAAAUAUAACUUACUGCUUUGUAUAACUUUGGAGCCUUGACAUUUGCAUCUAGGAAAAUGGCGCUUAAAAAUAAUGCGGUUUGAACUUGGGCAACAGUGUGAGCAGACAAUGUCAAGACUGUGAGAUGAUGAUACUGAUUUUAUAUUGAAAAGCUGCAUCAGGAGUUACUGAGAAACAUGAGUUGGGGGUGGUGACUUCUGAGGAAGCAGAAUGAAAGGGCCACUAUUGAUAACUCUGAGGAGAAGACUAUUUGAUGUCCACAAGGUAGGUGAUAGGAGAAAGUAGUUGUUAUUCCCUCCUCUAAUUUCUUUUACUUCCCCACCAUUAUAGAUAUCCAAAUUUCUCUCAUCAUUUAGGACCCAGUAAAUAUUUUCCCAAUUUCUACAGCCCCAAAUAACUUCCACAUUUUAUCCGUUGAUGGGACAUUUAUCUCUGUAUUUCCUUUCUUUUAUUAGAAUUUAUUCUUAAUGCUUUUUGUAUCCUAUCAGAUGCAAAUUCAUUGGGGUUAGGGAUCAUAUCUAAUAUAGAUUAAUAUCUCUCAUAGCACUGAAAACUGUAAUUCCAAUGUUCAGACAUCUGCCGAAGUCUUGUUGAAUCAGUUGAUAGAGGCAUCAUACAGUUUAAUUUUGGCAAUAAUUCACUGGCUCUCUGGACUUAAUGGGAUUUAUAAUAAAUGUCCUGAGUAUGAGCCUACACACUUUCCAGUUCAGCGACUCGUUCGCUUUUGAGUAGUCUGUUUCUAUUCUACUGAAGUGUGUAAAAUUUACUAGAGGAAUCUUACUGUUCGUGCCCCUUCUCUACUGAGGUUGGUAUGGUGCUGUAGUUUUAAGAGCUGAUAGUGCCAUGGUUUUCUUUCUGUACUAAAUACUGUGGUAAGGGAGAGGUAAAGGUUAGGCAUGAUACCUUCCUGGGAAGCCUCCUGGUUUUUACAGUUAAUCUCUCACUGAAAGAAUUCUGUUCCAUCCUAAAAAGAUACACAGACUUUUUAAAACAAGCAUAUCUGGAAUAGAGGUACAAAGCAGUUACCCAUUCUGGAAUUUGAGUUUCCUUAUCAAGUUACUUUCUCAUGGAAAGUUCUGAAAGCUGAGGCAUAUUCACAGCUCUUUCUUGGGACAGCAAGUGAGUGGUAUCUCAGAAAAGUGAAAGACGAGAGAGAGAGAGAGAGAGAGAGAGAGAGAGAGAGA